ACGGCAAAAGCUUUCUUACCUCUGCUCUGGGAAGUAGUCCCACACCUCCUGGAAGCUAGGAGAAAAUGAUUUCUGCUAUCAAAUAUAGUUGGCUGCAAUGACAGUGUUUUCCGUAACUACUAUCCCUGAAGCUCCUACUGCUUCCAGUUUGGAAUGUGUACAGUAAUCCAGAAUGCAUGAAGGUGGGUUAAUCAUCAGAUGUUCACCAGCAAGUCUUACAGCUUAACAUUCAAAAUAUGUCAAAUGUAAUCCUUUCUACCACUUCUCCCAAUACCACCCCAGUAACAAGUCACCUGCCUCCCUGCAUGGAUGAUGGUAAAGGCUUCUUCACUGGUCCUUUUUGUGUGGCUCAGUCGCUACCUGAGACAUUUUGUCUCAUGGUGGAUGGCAGAAGCUCCAAGAAGACUGUAGGAAACUUGCCAGGCUUCCUGAAGGCCUCAACUUGAAACUGGCACACUGUCCCUUCUACCCUCAUUUCAUAGGUUGAAGCACCUUCAUGGCCAUGCCUGUCAGUAGGGUGAGGGAGCAUUUGCAUCUACUCUAAUGGGAAGCACUUGCAAAGUUACAUGGCAAGAGACAUGGAUUACAUGUUUGUUACUGGAAGAGAUAAAAGAAUUUGGAAUGGUAAAUGUUUCUCAGGUGGCUUCUCAAGAACUUUAUGAAUAGAGGCAAGACAGGAUGGUGCAAGAGGUUCAUUGAAAAUAGAGGGCCUCCACCCUGGCUGUAUUAUCACCUAUUUUAGUUUCUUAUGGCUGCCAAACAAAGUGCCAUGAACUGUGUGGCCUAAACAACAAAGUUACUGUCUCACAGUUCGGGAGGCCGGAAAUCCAAAAUCAAGGUGUCCGUAGGGCCAUGCGCCCUCUGAAUGCUUCCUUGACUCCUCCUGGCUUCUGAUGGUUUGUUGGCAGUCGCUGACAUUCCUUGGCUUUUAGGUGCAUAAAUCCAGUCUGUCUUUGUCACAUGGCAUUCUCCCUGUGUUUGUCUUCAUGUGGCCAUCUUACAAGGAUGCCACUCACAUUGGAUUAGGGACCCACCCUGCUCCAGUAUGACCCAAUCUUAAUUAAUUCUAUCUGAAAUAACUCUAUUGCAAAUAAGGUCAAUUGUAAGGUACCCAGAGAUAGGACUUCUACAUAUCUUUUUGACGUUAUUUUUUGUUGGAGGCACAACUCAAUCUAUAACUUUAUCAAUGUGAGAUUCUCAUGCCUAGCAGUGUGCCAAAUGUUAUAAAGAAAAUAAAGAUGUCGUUACAUCAUAACUUUUUCUGCUUAUUACCAAUAGACCUGAGCAAGUGAAUGUUUCUUUGUAUAUGUGGGUGAAGAAUUAUUUAUGUAUAUAUGUAUUCUCACUAAAAAUACAGGUUUUAAAAAAACAAUUGAAUCUACCUAAAUUUUUAUACUAAGGGAGUCUGAGAAGGGGAUACUUUAUUCCACAAAAAUGUUUUUUUUUAAAGAUUGGCACCUGAGCUAACAUCUGUUGCCAAUCUUUUCUUUUUCUUCUGCUCCUCCCCAAAGCCCCAGA
rnacentral:lncRNA from 1 species